rnacentral:rRNA from 1 species
GACGAACCGUGCGAACGUUGUUCGGAAUCACUGGGCUUAAAGGGUGCGUAGGCGGGGUGGCAAGUCUGUGGUGAAAUCCUCCGGCUCAACCGGAGAACUGCCGUGGAUACUGCCACUCUCGAGGGGUGUAGGGGCAUGUGGAACUUAGGGUGGAGCGGUGAAAUGCGUAGAUAUCCUAAGGAACGCCGGUGGCGAAAGCGACGUGCUGGACACCUUCUGACGCUGAGGCACGAAAGCCAGGGGAGCGAACGGG